UUCAGCGCGGCGACAUCACGUUGAAUGUACCAGUUCCCAGUGGAUCACUGAAGUUAAGCAACGUUACGCGAAGUUGAUAUCCGGAUGAGUGACUAUUUUGGAAAUCGCAUGCUACUGGCU
rnacentral:rRNA from 1 species